AUUGAACGCUGGCGGCAGGCCUAACACAUGCAAGUCGAGCGGAUGAAGGGAGCUUGCUCCUGGAUUCAGCGGCGGACGGGUGAGUAAUGCCUAGGAAUCUGCCUGGUAGUGGGGGAUAACGUCCGGAAACGGGCGCUAAUACCGCAUACGUCCUGAGGGAGAAAGUGGGGGAUCUUCGGACCUCACGCUAUCAGAUGAGCCUAGGUCGGAUUAGCUAGUUGGUGGGGUAAAGGCCUACCAAGGCGACGAUCCGUAACUGGUCUGAGAGGAUGAUCAGUCACACUGGAACUGAGACACGGUCCAGAGUCCUACGGGAGGCAGCAGUGGGGAAUAUUGGACAAUGGGCGGAAGCCUUAUCCAGCCAUGCCGCGUGUGUGAAGAAGGUCUUCGGAUUGUAAAGCACGUUAAGUUGGGAGGAACGGCAGUAAGUUAAUACCUUGCUGUUUUGACGUUACCAACAGAAUAAGCACCGGCUAACUUCGUG
rnacentral:rRNA from 1 species